rnacentral:rRNA from 1 species
CCGGCGACCGGCGCACGGGUGAGUAACACGUAUGCGACCUGCCCCCCGCAGGGGGAUAACCGGGAGAAAUCCCGACUAAUACCGCGUAACGCCGCGGACCUGCAUGGGUCUGCGGCCAAAGGAAGCGAUUCCGGCGGGGGAUGGGCAUGCGGCGCAUUAGGCAGUAGGCGGGGUAACGGCCCACCUAACCGACGAUGCGUAGGGGUUCUGAGAGGAAGGUCCCCCACACUGGUACUGAGACACGGACCAGACUCCUACGGAAGGCAGCAG